rnacentral:rRNA from 1 species
GUGGGGAAUAUUCCGCAAUGGACGAAAGUCUGACGGAGCAACGCCGCGUGAGUGAUGAAGGUUUUCGGACUGUAAAGCUCUGUUGUUUAGGACGAAAGUGCCUGUUGCAAAUAGUUACAGGUAUUGACGGUACUGAACGAGGAAGCCACGGCUAACUACGUGCCAGCAGCCGCGGUAAUACGUAGGUGGCAAGCGUUGUCCGGAAUUAUUGGGCGUAAAGAGCAUGUAGGCGGGAAUCUAAGUCUGUUGUGAAAAUGCGGGGCUCAAUCCCGUAUUGCGAUGGAAACUGGGUUUCUUGAGUGCAGGAGAGGAACGGGGAAUUCCGAGUGUAGCGGUGAAAUGCGUAGAUAUUGGGAGUAACACCAGUGGCGAAGGCGCCUUUCUGGACUGUGUCUGACGCUGAGAUGCGAAAGCCAGGGUAGCGAACGGGAUUAGAUACCCGUGUAGUCC